UCUGUCUCCAUCAAUUCAAUACAGUCAGCCAAUGGUGCUCCGUGUCUAUUUUUAGAACCAGGGAAGGAGGGCAAACCAAGAACAAACUAGAGAGAGAGAGAGAGAGUGAGUGAGUGAGGGACAGAGGGAAAGAGAGCAAGAGAGGGAGAGAGAAGGAGAGGGAGUGAGAGAGCAAGAGAAAAAAGAUAAAUGUGCCUUCUACCGCUGGCUAGUGGAUAGAUAGCAGCCACAGUAGGAACUAGAGCAGCACGGGAGGACGGCACGCUGCAGGCUCCAGACCCUCUCUGAAGCACAACAACUGGGACAACUAUUCCCCCACACUACUCCAACCAUCGCUGACCGACUGGGCAGAGCAAACAGCGGGAAUUGGCUCGGACAAAGGGCGAGUGUGAGCAGGCAUGAGGCCCCGCUCCAGACCGCUGAGCAAGAGGAGGCUCCAGCUGCCGACCAUCAGAGAGGGCAGCGAGGAGGUGCCCCCCCCCCACCCCCCCGCCUCCGUCUGCUCCCAGGACUACCUGCUCUCCAUCUGCCACCUGGCCCUCCCCACCUGCCCGGCUCCGCCCGGCGGGGGGGCCCCCGACCCUCUGGAGCUGCUCUACGGCGGGACGGCCCUCUCCUCCUGCUGGGAGGGCGGCGGCGAGGAGAGGAGGAGGAGGAGGAGUGUGGGGGGGCAGAGCGGGGAGGAAGGCCUCUCCGGUUGGCGCGGCGACAGAGACGACCGGGACGGCCGCGAGGGGAGGCGGCGCGCCCGGGCCAACAGCGUCCCCCGCCUCACCAGCCCCAACUGCCCCCCGAGGCGCAAGGGCAGCUGCCCCGAGGUGCACCCCCUGCCCGGCCCCCAGACCCCCGCGCACCCCCCGGCCGUGCCCCCAGACGGCCCCCCGGUCCCCGAGGUCAGAGACAGUCCGGAGGAGGAGACGGGGGGCCGAGGGGAGAGGGGGGGGGCCGAGGAGGAACAGGAUCCCGGGGGGCAAACCCUCCCUCCUGUCCCAGUGGCUCUCUGACUGUAGGUCAGCGUGGAGGGUCAAAGCAGGCGUGCUGCCGGCCAUCGCUGAGAUAUAGGCCGGCCCGCGGCACGCAAAGACACUCUGUACUUAGACUCCAUUCUUAUUGUUUGUUUUUAUAUGUGUCGUUUCGUUCAGAGGUUGAGAAGAGACAACAUGCAGUCUAACACUGGUCGAUACAGCUGUAUGAAUGGAUAUCGCUUGCCUUAAUACAUAAUGAUAUCUACAUGUUAAUAUAUAUUAAGGCAAGCUUAUAGCUAUAUAUUGUUACUCUUGCCUGUGAUCUGUGAUUGUUUUGCUUAUAUACUCUGACCAACUCGUGCUUGGCUUAUGCCAAAAUGAAAUCUGAAAUCUGCAAAAUCAUUUUAUACCCUGGGUGCCCUGUGGGUCAGAGAGAAAUAAUGAAGGAAUAAAUAAACGAUCGAUUUUGAUACUCUUAAACCAUCGAGGGUUGAGUGUGCGUUUGCUUGCCGGUACGGACAGCUUGACAACACCACCCCUUGCAUCUGUGCGGGUGUCCGUCGCCGUCGUUCCUAUGGUAACUGUUGAGGGCGAGCUGGGUUAGUAAAAAAAAAAAAAAGAAUAAAACCUUGAUUCCAAAUGCAGAGUUGGCAGGCUGGCGAGCGCACGCACGCCAACACCCCAGCAUCUUCUUUGUUUAGCCCUUUCUUGGAAAGCGUGAAUCACCAACAUCAGCGCACAAUAGGGGACUCGGAAACCUUACACAAGCCCAGACGGCCACCCAGCCGGUAAACCCAAGCGCUCUCCGGCUGCUGUUAGUGAUACUACCGCUAGGGGGCAGCCUUGGCUCAGAUUCUCAUUCGUAAUGUCAUGUAUCCACGUAACGGUGUGCUUUGGAAGAGAAUACUCCUGACCUCCAGUGGUCAAAAGCAGUCAGCUCAGGCAGAAAUCCCCCAAAGGCCUCAGCUUGGUUACCAAAACAACCAACGUAGGCCAGAAUAUUCAGGUAAAUUCUACUUAAUAUCCAACACACAGAACAUCAAUAACGCAGACUAAAUGUUGACAUUUUGAAAGCAAUUAAUACAAAAUAAACAACUCCUGUCCACGUCCACAGUGACCUAUUAAAACAGCAAGUGCCGGGCAGUCAAAGUCCAAUGAACCACCUGGGUAAGAGUGAAGGUUGAACUUUUAAGGGAGUCAUGCAUGCUGAUUGUUCGGACUGCACAUUUAACAAAACAUGUUUACUACACCGCCAUUUCACCAUGUUUGUGAAAUAGACAAAUCAUCAAAAGGGAGAUAAGAAUGAAUGAAGCC
ensembl:lncRNA